rnacentral:rRNA from 1 species
AGUUUGACUGGGGCGGUCUCCUCCCAAAGAGUAACGGAGGAGCACGAAGGUUGGCUAAUCCUGGUCGGACAUCAGGAGGUUAGUGCAAUGGCAUAAGCCAGCUUAACUGCGAGACGGACAGGUCGAGCAGGUACGAAAGUAGGUCAUAGUGAUCCGGUGGUUCUGAAUGGAAGGGCCAUCGCUCAACGGAUAAAAGGUACUCCGGGGAUAACAGGCUGAUACCGCCCAAGAGUUCAUAUCGACGGCGGUGUUUGGCACCUCGAUGUCGGCUCAUCACAUCCUGGGGCUGAAGUCGGUCCCAAGGGUAUGGCUGUUCGCCAUUUAAAGUGGUACGCGAGCUGGGUUCAGAACGUCGUGAGACAGUUCGGUCCCUAUCUGCCGUGGGCGUUGGAUGAUUGAAGGGAGUUGCUCCUAGUACGAGAGGACCGGAGUGAACGAACCUCUGGUGUUCGGGUUGUCACGCCAGUGGCACUGCCCGGUAGCUAAGUUCGGAAUCGAUAACCGCUGAAAGCAUCUAAGCGGGAAGCGAGCCCUGAGAUGAGUCAUCCCUGACCCCUUGAGGGUCCUAAAGGGCCGUUGGAGACCACAACGUUGAUAGGUGGGGUGUGUAAGCGCGGCGACGUGUUGAGCUAACCCAUACUAAUUACCCGUGAGGCUUAACC